UCAAGCGGCUCCCACUGUCGCAAAAGCUUGAGCGCUGCUGAAGACCGCUUGAAAUGAAGAGGACACCGAACAAAACGCGAAUUAAAGUUGAUUAAAGUUGACUCUCAGCUGGCAUCCUGACCCGCAUGGUAACGUUACAUAAAGCACAAACUCCAGCAUCAGUGAGGAGUGGAAUGGACGCGGUCAGUCUGUGGCUCUGCUGAGACACUAUUGAGCCUUCAGGACAUCUGUAUUGGUGAGAGGCCUUUCGACUGUGAACUCUGCCAUAUGCCCCAACUCCAGCCAGCUGACCGUUCACCUCCGAUCUCACACAGGUUCCAGUGCAAUCAAUGCGAUGCCAAAUUUAAGAUCAACUCUGACCUGGAGCGCCACUGUCCGGUUCACUACGACGAGAAGCCUUAUAAGUGUGAACUCUACAAGUACCGCUGUGCCAUGAAGACCAAUUUAAAAUCCCACGUGCAGCUGAAACACAGCAUCUUCGACUCCUUCCACUGCUCAAAAUGUGACUUACAGUGCUCCACCAAAGCCGCCCUGCAGCAGUAUUCCCACGAGCACCAGCCCACCCAGCCGCUGCAGUGUAGUGGGUGCAGUUACUCCGCUCCACCAAGGGGGCGCUCAAGAUCCACAGCCCUUUAAAUGUGAGCACUGUUCGUUUGCGAGUAAUCAGCUGAGUAAUAUGUUAAUAAAGAGGAGGAAGUGUCAUGCGGAUAAACCGGAUAGGCAAUGUAAGUCCGGAUAAAGAAGCAGGAUGGAGGAGGAGCCAGAGAGGAUUCUCUUCGCAGCAUAACAGUAACGUGCAACAACAAAGUAAAACUGUAACCUCCGUCACAACCGACACAGCAUCUUCGUACGGCACGACGCAUCUUAAGAUCAUCAUGGUGCCCUCAAUAGGACUGGAAGCUACUUUUGUACUUUUCGAACUGUAUAAAGGUCCUAGAUUGUAUCAUUUUAACAGCUUUACAGCUGUUUUGAGUUUUUUUCUAGUACUGUCAAAUGAUUAAUCGUAUCCAAAAUUAAAAAUUGUUUACGUAAUAUAUAGUUUGUGUACUUUAUGUAUAUUUAGAUACACAAAUAUACAUGUGUAUAUUCAGAAAAAAAUUUGUUUAU